rnacentral:rRNA from 1 species
GGGCCCGCACAAGCGGUGGAGUAUGUGGUUUAAUUCGAUGCAACGCGAAGAACCUUACCAGGGUUUGACAUCCUGCGAAUUUCUGGGAAAACCGGAAAGUGCCUUCGGGAGCGCAGUGACAGGUGGUGCAUGGCUGUCGUCAGCUCGUGUCGUGAGAUGUUGGGUUAAGUCCCGCAACGAGCGCAACCCACGUCUUUAGUUGCCAGCAUUUAGUUGGGCACUCUAGAGAGACCGCCGGUGAUAAACCGGAGGAAGGUGUGGAUGACGUCAAGUCAUCAUGCCCCUUACAUCCUGGGCUACACACGUACUACAAUGGCAACUACAGAGGGCAGCAAGACCGCAAGGUGGAGCCAAUCCCUAAAAGGUUGCCUCAGUUCGGAUUGGAGUCUGCAACUCGACUCCAUGAAGUUGGAAUCGCUAGUAAUCGCGGAUC